AUUGAACGCUGGCGGCAUGCCUUACACAUGCAAGUCGAACGGUAACGCGGGGCAACCUGGCGACGAGUGGCGAACGGGUGAGUAAUGCAUCGGAACGUGCCUGGUAGUGGGGGAUAACUGCUCAAAAGAGCAGCUAAUACCGCAUACGACCUGAGGGUGAAAGGGGGGGAUCGCAAGACCUCUCGCUAUCAGAGCGGCCGAUGUCGGAUUAGCUAGUUGGUGGGGUAAAGGCCCACCAAGGCAACGAUCCGUAGCUGGUCUGAGAGGACGACCAGCCACACUGGGACUGAGACACGGCCCAGACUCCUACGGGAGGCAGCAGUGGGGAGUUUUGGACAAUGGACGCAAGUCUGAUCCAGCCAUGCCGCGUGCGGGAAGAAGGCCUUCGGGUUGUAAACCGCUUUUGUCAGGGAAGAAAUCUUCUGGGCUAAUACCCUGGGAGGAUGACGGUACCUGAAGAAUAAGCACCGGCUAACUACGUGCCAGCCGCCGCCGUAAGAC
rnacentral:rRNA from 1 species